UACGUAGGGGGCGAGCGUUGCCCGGAAUUAUUGGGCGUAAAGAGCGUGUAGGCGGUUCGGUAAGUCUGCCGUGAAAACCUGAGGCUCAACCUCGGGCGUGCGGUGGAUACUGCCGGGCUAGAGGACGGUAGAGGCGAGUGGAAUUCCCGGUGUAGCGGUGAAAUGCGCAGAUAUCGGGAGGAACACCAGUAGCGAAGGCGGCUCGCUGGGCCGUUCCGUGACGCUGAGACGCGAAAGCUAGGGGAGCGAACAGG
rnacentral:rRNA from 1 species